GGGAACAUACCCUUUUCUACGGAAUAGCUCUGGGAAACUGGAAUUAAUACCGUAUACGCCCUACGGGGGAAAGAUUUAUCGGGGAAGGAUUGGCCCGCGUUGGAUUAGCUAGUUGGUGGGGUAAAGGCCUACCAAGGCGACGAUCCAUAGCUGGUCUGAGAGGAUGAUCAGCCACAUUGGGACUGAGACACGGCCCAAACUCCUACGGGAGGCAGCAGUGGGGAAUAUUGGACAAUGGGCGCAAGCCUGAUCCAGCCAUGCCGCGUGAGUGAUGAAGGCCUUAGGGUUGUAAAGCUCUUUCACCGAUGAAGAUAGUGACGGUAGUCGGAGAAGAAGCCCCGGCUAACUUCGUGCCAGCAGCCGCGGUAAUACGAAGGGGGCUAGCGUUGUUCGGAAUUACUGGGCGUAAAGCGCACGUAGGCGGAUAUUUAAGUCAGGGGUGAAAUCCCAGAGCUCAACUCUGGAACUGCCUUUGAUACUGGGUAUCUUGAGUAUGGAAGAGGUAAGUGGAAUUGCGAGU
rnacentral:rRNA from 1 species